rnacentral:lncRNA from 1 species
GAAAUACAUAUGGUCAAAACCGGCUAUCGUUGGCUGCUUUAAAUCCGCGUCCGCCCUCAGAGAAACGUGCGCGCGGCGGCUCCAACUACAAACGUCCAUUGUUUUCUGGCCUCGAUUGGUCGCGCCUGGAGGGAUCCGACUUGAGCGUUGACGGUCUGUCACAUUUCACGCUGACACCGAGCGAACACUAGGCGCACACACACAACCAUUCACAGCCACUCACACAAGCGGGGCUCACAAUAUAUCGACACAUCCUGGAGCUUAUCCGAGGAGAGCACGCUGAAGUGACUGAAAGCGUCUUCUGUUUGAGGAAACGAGAGGAAAACAGCAAAAAGGAACAGAGGAAAUCCCCCAAAAGGAAAUGCCAAUCGCAGCCGCUGGACAGCCCUCGACUCAGGAGCCUCGCGUUUGCCCCCGGCUGCCCUCCACCCCAGAACCUGUCCCCAAAGGGGCUGAUUUAUUCGACGAGGCGGGGGUGGCGGAAUCUGCGGAGCGGACAGACUACGGGGGUGCAGAGGGCGGCUUUAGUUACAGCCUCGGCGGCGCUCGGAGCUUCCUACAGCCCGGAUCCACCAGCUUCUCUCCGCCGCAGUCCCCCGCCGCGUCCUCCUCGUUUCUCUUCCACCCCCUUCACGCGCACCAAAUGGCUAUGGAGCCCCCGAGGACUCGAUCGCGUUCUCGCUCAGGAUAUUACCAGCAGUACUCUGGUAUGAAUGGCAAUGGGAUUACAGGGAGCACGGUCAUGGGAUCCAGCCACCACCUCCUCCACCACCACCACCACCACCAUCAGCAACUCCUUCCACAGCAGCUGCAUCCAGCCGGCUGCGCACCACUAGGAGCUCACGGGAGCCAAGAAAACCAGCAGCGAGCCCCAGGAAGUAACGCCUCUGCCGGCAUCCAGAGGUUUUCCUCAGUGAAUGGUUCACACCGCAUCCCAGCUCCAGGAGCUUCUGGUGGGUCGUACCUCUGCCACCCAGACCACGCUUACGGGGAGGAGAGUGAUAAGAGUGAGGAAAGCCCCAGUCCGAAGCGCCAGAGGCUGUCCAGCCAGUCUGUCUUGGAGCAGCUCACCUCUUCUGCCCCACCACCUUCAACCCAUCACCCCCCAUCCGCCCCUGGGAGUCGGGACCGCCCAAUCGCAGACCCCCUCACCCCCACGCACACUACCACCAGGAGCGGUGCCUCACUCCAGCGCGGCUCCGGCGCAGGUAAGAACUCUUAUCAUUUCUAA